UACGGAGGAUGCGAGCGUUAUCCGGAUUUAUUGGGUUUAAAGGGUGCGCAGGCGGACCGGAAAGUCAGCGGUAAAAUCGCGGGGCUCAACCCCGCCGAGCCGUUGAAACUGUCGGUCUAGAGUGAGCGAGAAGUAUGCGGAAUGCGUGGUGUAGCGGUGAAAUGCAUAGAUAUCACGCAGAACUCCGAUUGCGAAGGCAGCAUACCGGCGCUCAACUGACGCUCAGGCACGAAAGCGUGGGUAUCGAACAGG
rnacentral:rRNA from 1 species